UUCAAGCAUUUACUUCUCUAUCACUCAAAGUCCUCUAGCGGCCAACUCACACCACAGACUAUCACUCUGCAAAUUUUGUUUUGCAAUCACUUAGGUAACCUUUAUGGCAAAGGGAGGAAGUGGGAAGUCAGAAAUUGCAGGGUUUUGUUUUUUAUUUUGGGAGACUUUUUUCUUUCUUUCUCUCUUUUCUCUCUCUCAUUCAUCCUGGGUUUCUCUUGGUGAGUGCCAAAUUCCCUAAUCGCAGAACCCAACUCAGUGGUCCCUGCCAGGUGACACCCGCAGCCCUAGGCCUGUCCCUGCAGACCAAGGAUCUGCUUUCAGCUGAUCCUUGGAGUAAGUUUGAUAAACUCUUUCACUUGUCAAUAACAAGACCCAAAGAACAAGUAUCUGAGGUCCGAGAACUGUACCUCGCAGUCACAUGUUUUCUUCUCUGGAGGGCAUCUGAAACUUAAUACUAUUUAAUUCCAAAGUCAAUUCUCCACCCCUGGAAGUGCGGGCUCUUCAGCAGAUGUUGAGAGGGAUCUUUUGGGGUGUGCUGGGAAGUGAGCUAUGGGACCAGCAAACGCUACCGCAAGUAAACAGUCUGUGAGUCUGGACAGAGGGCAGUCGGCAGUUCCUCAGACUCUUCUUAAAAUUUUCCCGUAAGUUGGAAAUCAUAUAGAAAUAAAAAUUAUUUAAAAAAAAAAAAAAAACGCUCUUGAGGAGAUUUGGAGGAAGUGAGGGGAACAGGGACAAAACAAAAGGGAGAGGGAAGAGGAGCCGAGAGCUGAAAGCAGGCGGCUGCUGCUGCAGCAGCUGCGGACGCCCCUGGCCCCAGGCUCCGCCUCCCUGGGAGCUUAGUGCUGUUUGUCCUUCCGUGGGGCUGUCGGGCGGUCAGAGCUGCAGGGUGUGUGCAGGAAGUGGGUGGACUACUCUCAGACCACCCGGCUUACGGUGCCCUCGCGAGGCGGGAAGGACAGGGGGCGGCCAGUUGUGCGCCGGGCCUUGAACCCGCAGUUCAAGACGGUGAGCAGAGAGGCGAUUCUCCGAGCUGAGCUGGGGGGCAGGUCUUUCUUCAUAAUAAAGAAGUUGAAAUCCAGAGUGAAUUUUUCAACUAAAAGCCAGGAGCCCAAGAUGGAAAAAAAUCUUGUCUUUUUGUCCAAAAAAACCUUGCUAACCAUCUCUUCACAUGCUUCCUUGUGGGGGCACUGAAUGAUCAGGGGAAAUUAGUGAAGUCUGAUUCAUAAAAGAUUCAUAGAUGUGAUUAUAUUCAUACCCUUAGUUCAUAGUGCAAGGCCUGUUACUUAUUAGCUAACUCAACCUUGAGCUUCCUGGUGCCCGUACUUACCUGGGGGAUAAGAAUUUCAUUGACCACCACUAGGAAAGGUAUACGCUCCCACACAUUAGUCUACACAACUCAGCUCAAUGACACCCCCAACUCCAAAAUCAUGCUACAUGGAUCAAGCUCAGGAGGGGCUGCAGCUUCUUGCACAAGCCGCCCUGCAAAUGGGAGCUAUUGCUGCUAUGCUUGUGGUUGAGAGUGAGGAGGCUGCGAAGGUAGCUGCCUUGGUCCAGGGCAUGCAGGUCAACCUGAAUCAAGCCGUUUUCUACACCCAGAGGACUCAAGAGGUCAUCCGCUCUCUGCUCAUAGAGCCACAGAUGCCUGCCGUAUUCCGCUCUGUUGGAAGAAGAGCCUGUAGGACCAGGGCUCACCCCACGCCAUCUCAUCUUUGGCAGGACCUGUGAGUGGGCAGCCUGGCCCCUCACAGCUGGAGGCAAGCCUUCUGGAUGUCUCAGGAAACAUUUUAUUGUAUCUGUGAAAAGUUGGCCUCACAUCUUCAAAGAGAAGCCAUUCACAUGAAAUUGCUUCUCUCUGUGCCUCAUAAAGUAGACAUUUGGACUGUAUCAGCUGGCCUUCUCUGAGACUCUACAUUGUGUGGCCAAGCUCUUCAGGGUGGGCAGAUCUACCACUGGGUACACCUUCCAAGAGGUUGUGGAUUCCAUCUGUGUGACCUUUUGGCACCUCCUGAAAACCAGCCUUACCUGGAGAAGGUCAUAGAAAGGCUCUGUAUCAAAUAUGGCUUCCCAGUGUGUGCUGGGGCUACCAGAGGCACACAUACUGAGGUGUCCUGCCCCAAAGGGCAAGAAAAGAACUAUUGAAACUGGCAUCAGUACUUUUCAGUAAUUCUUCGAGCUGUGGCUGGUCCUGUCCUUUGUUUCAGCCAAGUGUUUGUUGGCUGCUCAGGAUCCAGCCAUGACUCACACGUGUUGGAGGCAAAUCGGCCUUGCCAUAGGGGAGAUGUGGGCUCUUUUCCCCUCCACCCGAGAAGAAAUAGGGGGGCACAUCAUAGCGCCUGUCCUUGUGGGUGAUGAAGCCUACCCACUCCUCCAGUGGCUGGUGGCCCCUUACCUCCAACCUGUCACCCCUAAGGAGCUGCGAUUCAGCAAGCAGCUCUUGGCUCUCUGGGGCACAGUUGAACAGGCCUCCAGGCAGCUGAGAGGCUGUUGACAGUGGCUCCAGGAUAAACCAUCAGAGCACAUCUGUGAGGUGAUCGCUGGCUGCUGCUAGCUCCACAAUCUGUGUAUUGAGCAGGGAGAUCUUCUGCCCAGAGUGGGACCAGGGCCCUCACCCAUGCUAUGGCAGAGAGCAGACCCAGCCUGCAGAGUGGCAUGCAAACAAGACACAAAUGAACUGGGGUUCCAGGUAUGCCUGCUAUCGUUCAGCAUUUGGCACUCCAGGCCCAGCAGACUCAUGGUGAAAUCACUGACUGUCCUUCCUGAUUUUUCUCUGGAAUUGCUUCUUUAGGCCCUCUUUCUUCUUUCCAUGUUAACCUUCCCCACUCCCUUCCUGCUAAUAAAACAUUGAUGUUAAUAUUUGUAA